rnacentral:lncRNA from 1 species
AUGCCCGUCUUCCUCUACUUUUUUUUUAUAUAUGGGACGCUUGCCACAGCAUGGCUUGAUAAGUGGUGCAUAGCUCCAUGCCCAGGAUGCAAAUCAGCAAACCCCAGGUCGCUGAAGCUGAGUGGGCAAACCCAACUGCUACGCCACCAGGACAGCCCCCCAAUCUACUAUUUUGUUCAUUCAGAUAGAUGUUUUUGUGAAAUUUCAGUUCAAUUAUUUUUCCCAUUUUUUUUCAUUGUGUUCUUUAAGUUUUCUGUACUCAUAUUUUGGAUAAGUGCUAACAUCUUCCCAGGAAAAGAUCUAAUUUUUUUCAGUAUUGCAGAAGAGGAAGGAGGAGGAGGAAGAAAGGAGAAAAGGAAGGAAGGGAGGAAGGAAGGAAGAAGGAGAGGAAAGAAGAGAAAAUCACUGCCAAUAACUCUAUUCUGCAAACCAGCAAGUCCACCAUCGUUUGGAAGAGGUGUUCUAAUGAGUCCACAGUUUCCUUAUCAAGAAGGCGGAUUGCAGAGAUGUUCCUCCGAGAGGCAUCCUUACAUUAUCUCACAUUUCUCGGGAUUGCUGACACUUUCACUGCUUUCCCAAUGCUGUCAAAGGGAAAAUACAUUUAUAUUAGAAGAAAGAGGUGGAAAGUGAUCAAAAUGAGGACUGGAUGGGGAAGUGUGGCUUCUGCCUAUACAGCAAUGCAUCCCAUUCUGCGAUCGUUUCCUUGUUGCCAUUCUUCCAUAAAAUGGAACGAUCAAAAAUAAAGAAAUAAGGUAUGUUCA